rnacentral:rRNA from 1 species
CCAGACUCCUACGGGAGGCAGCAGUGGGGGAUAUUGCACAAUGGGGGAAACCCUGAUGCAGCAACGCCGCGUGAGUGAAGAAGUAUUUCGGUAUGUAAAGCUCUAUCAGCAGGGAAGAAGAUGACGGUACCUGACCAAGAAGCCCCGGCUAACUACGUGCCAGCAGCCGCGGUAAUACGUAGGGGGCAAGCGUUAUCCGGAUUUACUGGGUGUAAAGGGAGCGCAGACGGCAGUGCAAGUCUGGAGUGAAAGCCCGGGGCCCAACCCCGGGACUGCUCUGGAAACUGUGCGGCUAGAGUGCUGGAGGGGCAGGCGGAAUUCCUAGUGUAGCGGUGAAAUGCGUAGAUAUCAGGAGGAACACCGGCGGCGAAGGCGGCCUGCUGGACCGCGACUGACGUUGAGGCUCGAAAGCGUGGGGAGCGAACAGGAUUAGAUACCCCAGUAC